ensembl:miRNA
AGAAAUGCCUCCAUGAGAUCCAGCUGCAAGGCAUUUUCUCAAUUAGUGAUCAAUGGGAGAGGGCCCAGAACAUUGUGGGUGGUGCCAUCCCUGGGCUGGUGGUCCUG